GACAGAGGGUGCAAACGUUGCUCGGAAUCACUGGGCGUAAAGGGCGUGUAGGCGGGAAGGAAAGUCAGAUGUGAAAUCCCUGGGCUCAACCCAGGAACUGCAUUUGAAACUCCCUUUCUUGAGUACCGGAGAGGAAGGUGGAAUACCUGGUGUAGAGGUGAAAUUCGUAGAUAUCAGGUGGAACACCAGUGGCGAAGGCGGCCUUCUGGACGGUAACUGACGCUGGAGACGCGAAAGCGUGGGGAGCAAACAGG
rnacentral:rRNA from 1 species